CUCGGGUAAUGCUUUGUGUGGCUCCUAGAAAUAGAGGUCCACACUAGAUGGUGGGAUCCAUGUCCAGGUUAAACUAAUUUCGGUGUCUCCCCAAUCCCCUCUGCCUACCAUACCCCAUGCAGAGUGAGUGCCUCCUUUCCAUUGAGGGUUUUGUGCCAAUCCACCUCACCACUGGGCUGCAGGCUAUGGGGGCUAUAAGGGCUGGGGGAGACAGGGAGAACGGGGAGAAAGGAAGCCAGAAUUGACUAACCAUUUCUUUUCCACUGGUGUCUCCUGGGCUAGUGCAUCUUGCUGCAGAGGGAAAUUGAAGACCUUAGAGACCAACUAGGUAUGAUGGAGCACUGGCUGGGGCAGGGAUGGACAGCGGUGUCGUUCUGCAGGUGCUGGUGGUGGGGGUGGACUGCAGGUAUAGGUGGUGUCACUGGGACUGACUUCCUCUGGGGAAGAGAACCAAGCAGGCCUGGCCCUGGAGCCUUCUGUGCCUUUUCAGCUAGGGGUGUGCACAGACAGCAAUGUGUCGUCUGAACUCCGUGUACACUUUGUCUACAAGUCCCAGAGAUCUUCUCUUAGAACGGUUAGAGAUACCUUAUGUGUUUUCCUUUAACUGCUGCCUGGUACUGCUUGUAUGGUGUUUGCUUGCUGGCUGGCUUAUCUGUCUUUGAAACAUGUUCUGAACGGUUCUGGGAUGGCCCAACACCUGAGAACCACUUUCCUGCUUAGAAGGCAUUUCCACAUUUAAUUCAGGUGACGGGUGGAUGAGUCAGUCCCAGGGCUGGUGGGGUUUCUGGUUGCAGGGCUAGGUUUUUCCCCACGGGGGCAGGGCGUGGGUUUCUGUUUCCCUGGGUCUGGAGUACCCAGUUCUGUCUCUCUGUUUCAGCUGCCAUGCAGUUCCUCACUGACAAGUUCCAGGACCUGUGAACUGCUCUGUUUCACAGGUUGGAGCCAGCAUCUUCCUACAAGAUGAGCAGCUGCUACCUUUGGAGCUCCGGAGCUGCAGCUAAGCGGGUUCCCUCCAUAUCCUGUUCAGCCAGGGCUUCCUCUCUUCUGCUGCAUUUGCCCCCUUCCCAACACAGUUCAAAGCAGUGUGAAAUAAAGUUGUUCUCAUAUUC
rnacentral:lncRNA from 1 species